rnacentral:rRNA from 1 species
UACGUAGGGUGCAAGCGUUUAAUCGGAAUUACUGGGCGUAAAGCGUGCGCAGGCGGUUAUGUAAGACAGAUGUGAAAUGCCCGGGCUCAACCUGGGAAUUGCGAUGAAGACUGCAAGGCUUGAAUCUGGCAGAGGGGGGUAGAAUUCCACGUGUAGCAGUGAAAUGCGUAGAGAUGUGGAGGAACACCGAUGGCGAAGGCAGCCCCCCUGGGUCAAGAUUGACGCUCAUGCACGAAAGCGUGGGGAGCAAACAGG